GACGAACGCUGGCGGCGUGCUUAACACAUGCAAGUCGAACGGAAAGGCCCUGCUUGCAGGGUGCUCGAGUGGCGAACGGGUGAGUAACACGUGGGUGAUCUGCCCCUUACUUUGGGAUAAGCCUGGGAAACUGGGUCUAAUACUGGAUAGGACCAUGCUGUAGGUGGUGUGGUGGAAAGAUUAGUUUCGGUAAGGGAUGAGCUCGCGGCCUAUCAGCUUGUUGGUGGGGUAAUGGCCUACCAAGGCGUCGACGGGUAGCCGGCCUGAGAGGGUGGACGGCCACAUUGGGACUGAGAUACGGCCCAGACGCCUACGGGAGGCAGCAGUGGGGAAGAUUGCACAAUGGGCGCAAGCCGGAUGCAGCGACGCCGCGUGGGGGAUGACGGCCUUCGGGUUGUAAACUCCUUUCAGCCAUGACGAAGCCCUUGUGGUGACGGUAGUGGGAGAAGAAGCACCGGCUAACUACGUG
rnacentral:rRNA from 1 species